AGCUGAUUACACAACCCCAUCCUGGUAGUCGCACGUGUCUUCAAACAUCCCUGCCACCCCUCACAUGCAUCCCAGAUUAGGUAAUCUCAGUUUUGUAAUUAGUCUCUCACAUGGAGACGAGACCUCCCCUCCUGAUGCCUGGUCAACCUGGAGCCUUUAAAAAGCACUUCAAAGGCACCCAGUGAUGGGAGAUCUCUGGGUAGGGAGAUUUCACCUUCUGGAAGCAUGCUGGUGACAGAGGAGGUGUGUGCUGCAGCAGUCCCAGGAGCCACCAUGCCCCAGAAGCCUCAGCAGACAGAUUUCCAGCUGGUAAGAGUCAAGAGCACAUGGAGCCGCAUCAAGAAAGGAGAAACCCUCUCCAACAACGAUGAGGACGAGGUCACUCUCUCUGAGGCAACAAUAGGUGAGUGCAUCUCCGAAGGUGGGAUUUCCUGGAUUGUUGAAGCUCCCAUCUAUUUUUGCUACAAAGUGGUAGAAACAUACAACAUCCUGGAGCCCUCUAACACCACUCUGCUCUGGGGCCACAUCACUGACCCCCAGCAAACAGAGCUGGCCACAGCCAGCAAGAGGAAACUGCGGCGCUUCAUCGUCAUUGACGAAGUCGUCGACAAACUUUACGGCUCCAAAGUCAGAGAAUACUUCGAACAGAACAACGUCCAGCACAAAAUCCUCGCCCUGCCCACCACCGAGGAAACAAAAUCCAUGGACUUGGUGUUGAACAUCUUGCAUGAGGUGCAGAGCUUCAGCCUGGACCGGCGCACGGAGCCCAUCAUCGCCAUCGGCGGGGGCGUGUGCCUGGACAUCGUGGGGCUCGCCGCGUCGCUCUACAGGAGACGCACCCCCUACAUUCGGGUCCCCACCACCCUCCUCUCCUACGUGGAUGCCAGCGUGGGGGCCAAGAACGGAGUGAACUUUCUGCAGUGUAAGAACAAGCUCGGGGGCUACACCCCACCCGUGGCAAGUUUCCUGGACAGGUCCUUCCUCCAGAGCAUCCCUCGGCGACACAUCUCCAACGGCCUCGGGGAAAUUUUAAAGAUGGCCCUCAUGAAACACAAAGGGCUGUUUUACCUGCUCAAGAACCAUGGAAAAUACCUACUGGACACCAAGUUCCAGUCCUGCAACAGCUUUGCUCACCAUGGGGAUGCUGCACUGCAGACUACCAGGAUUGCCAUUGAAACCAUGCUGGAAGAGCUGGCUCCCAACCUCUGGGAGGAUGACCUGGACAGACUGGUUGAUUUUGGCCACCUUAUUAGCCCAGAGCUGGAAAUGAGGGUUCUGCCGUCACUGAUGCACGGGGAAGCCGUGAACAUCGACAUGGCCUUCAUGACGUACGUGGCCCACGCGCGCGGGCUGCUGGCCGCAGAGGACAAGGAGCAGAUCCUGCAGUGCAUGCGGGGCCUGGAGCUGCCGGUCUGGCACAGCGGCUGCAGCUGGGCCCUCAUCCAGAGAGCCCUGCGGGAGCGCCUCAAGCACAGCGGGGGACAGCUCCGGAUGCCCCUGCCCACAGGCCUCGGCGUGGCAGACAUAUUCAAUGACACCAGUGAAGAGACCCUGGAAAGAGCAUAUGAGCUGUGGGUCAAGGACUGCAAGAUGGGGCUGGAGGAAGAGCUGCAAGCCCAAGGUGACAGUCCUUCCCCAAGCCUGAGCUGUGUGCCACUGUAAGGCAGUGGGCAGAACUGAAUUUUGAACAAGAUAAAUCCAGAAACACCUGUGACACUUCAUACACUCCUGACCUGCGUGGAACAGCAGAAUAUUGGCACCUGACGUGAUUUGCCUUUUUCAAUUGCUUUGUUUGAAAGGGAAUAUAUUAUUGCUGAAGGAGUGAUUGUUCACAAGUGAAAUCACAGAGUGCCAGUAGUGUAGUUCAUAGCCUAUGGUCUUCUUUCAAGGAAAGUGAUCAGGAUUAUUCAUUUAUUUAGUUAAUCCAAGCUGGUAACUGCCAUGGCCCUUGCCACUGGUGUCCCACCAUUGCUUGUGCUUGCACCCCUGACACAAGCAGGUGUAGCUGGUUCAUAGACCAUGGUAUGGCACCUUGCAAAAUUUCUAUGCUAUAUAAAAUAUUUCAAGUAGGUUACCACCAUCACUAGUCAUUCUUUUCUUCUUGGUGUUAUUCUUGUUUUCUCUCACUGACAAGAUCAAAACAGAGAAGCUCAUCUGCCAGCCUUUGCACCCAGUCUAAGGGAAUGACACACCCUGAUUAGAGGCACCAUCACAAGUCACAGACCAGUAAAUUUUGCUGCUGUGGAGCACAUGGGGACUGUCUCCUGGCAGUGUCAUAGUCUUUUGUCUUGGGACACUCAGAUACUGAGAACAUGCUGGCAAAUCUCCUCUUCCUGCCCAAAUGUUUGUGGUGGUUUCACUUUGUAACCCCUGCAAGCCAAGGGGGUGACAAACAGGGCACGGUUUGCAGCACUGCUGCCUAAAAACAAAGCGGGGCUCCUGGCAAUACUGCAGAACCCCCUGGUGUCCCCACAUCUGCCACAGGGCUCCUCCUACCUGCCAGACCCUGGCUCCUUUCCCAUCUCAGCCUCUUCUGGUUAGAUAAGGGCAGCUGGGGAAAAUCAAGAGAAAUUAGAGGACUCCAAGCAAGUUCAUCAUCUUCAAGCAGCUUCACUGUCAUAUCUCAGGAUCCUGGCAGACUCUGAGCAGAUUAUAUAAUGGACGCUGAUGGUGAAAAAUGGAAAAGUAAUGUCAUCCUUCUCCCUGGAGGUCCAAUCAAAGGAAUUGCAAUCAACAAACAGCCUUUGAAUUAUUUACAACAUUAUUUGUUUUUUCCUCUGGUGUUUUUGUCCCACACCAGUUUGUGCUGAUGUGCUGGCUUCUGUUUUGCUGAAGUAAUAAAAGCUACUAAAAUUGAAAAAUUUUUGAACUA
rnacentral:lncRNA from 1 species